CAUGUUCAGAAGGCCAUAUUUCCCGACUCGUUUUCUCCCUGCCCUCCUAACUCCACGUGUGGUAAGACUUAUUCUCUUGCUUUAAAAUGAAUGGAUUUUAUUGAAUGGUGUGUUCACAUGCUCUGUCCAGGUAUUGUAUUCGUUGUCUCUGUCCAGUCAGCUGCAUGUAAAGCCUGAUAUCAGGAUGAAUUUCAUAGAUUCACUCAAAAAGUCUGUUCUGGUAUUCACACUCACAGCCAUACAACCACUGACUGACCACACAGUUUUCUGUUAUCGCUUUGAGUCUGAUACAGAUGUUUUGUGUAUGUUGAUUCCAGUUGUUUGUUCAAAUAGUUAAACAAAAACACACACACAUACAAAUCAAACCAGUCUUAUUAUCUCUGACUUGACAGAGUUGUCUGGCCAGGAUCUUCCACACGCUGAGUAUUGUGUUCCCUGAAUGUGCUGAGGAACUGGUUGGCCAGACAAUCAUCAAGCUUCAUGUAGAUGAGUCGACUUCCCCUGAGCUGCACAAUAAAGUUGGAAGGAAUGCCAGGAACUGCCAACUCUCCUCCUGUCUCUGCAUUUCUCCUUCUCUUCUACUGUUUUUCUCCUCUGCUCUGUCUCAACUAUUUAGUUUCCUACUCUACUUGUCUGUCGUUCUAGUUAUUUCUGAUGCCACACUCACUGUUUCGGUCUCUCACACUGUCUGUCUGUCCUGUCUAUGUUCAGGUGGAGAACAUGAUCCUCAGGAGCUUCUGCCAGAGACUUUUGGACGCCUCCGGAAAUAAGCCCACCGAAUAAUACAGAAUUGUCACUACUUGAUUUUCUUUCCAGUCCAUCUGCACAUAGUUGUGUAUAUUAUGUUCUUCUUAGCCUCCACAAGUGUAACUGCAAGUCAGCUUAAAACUGCACUUCUCUCCUUUGAGCUUAAUGUGCUCUGUGACCCAAGACCGAGCCCCUGGGUGUCCCAGUUUGUCAACAUCCUGCUGGGACACAGACAGCUGCUCACUGCCCUCCUGCACCGCAUGUGGGACCUGCUCCACAACAAGGUGUCCAUAUAUAUAUAUAUUUUUUUAUCUGCCUCUCUCUCCAUCUAAUUUUCCCUCUCUCUCGCUCUCGCUCUCUCCAUCUCACUUUCCCUCUCGCUCUCCAUCUUAUUUUCCUGCUCUCUCUCUCUCUUUCUUAUCCCCUUUACUUUUUCUUAUAGCCUCUCAUAGUCUUCUUUUCUCCUUCCCUAUAGGGGGGGGGGGGGUCAUUGAAUUGUGCACCUUCAUGCCUCCCAGGCCCAGUGCCCCCUUGUGCAGCUGUGCCCACCCCUGCUGCCCGGCCCUGUGUCUGUUCCAGAGGCACUGGCCACUGCCUUGCCCUGCCCUGCCCAAAACCAACAUGCUCUUCUGUGUUAGAUUCUGCGUGGCUGCAGGUUUACUAUGGGCUCUGUAG
rnacentral:lncRNA from 1 species